GACGAACGCUGGCGGCGUGCUUAACACAUGCAAGUCGAACGGUAAGGCCCUUCGGGGUACACGAGUGGCGGACGGGUGAGUAACACGUGGGUGAUCUGCCCUGCACUUCGGGAUAAGCCUGGGAAACUGGGUCUAAUACCGGAUAGGACCCUGGGAUGCAUGUCCUGGGGUGGAAAGCUUUUGCGGUGUGGGAUGGGCCCGCGGCCUAUCAGCUUGUUGGUGGGGUGAUGGCCUACCAAGGCGACGACGGGUAGCCGGCCUGGGAGGGUGACCGGCCACACUGGGACUGAGAUACGGCCCAGACUCCUACGGGAGGCAGCAGUGGGGAAUAUUGCACAAUGGGCGCAAGCCUGAUGCAGCGACGCCGCGUGAGGGAUGACGGCCUUCGGGUUGUAAACCUCUUUCAGCACCGACGAAGCGCAAGUGACGGUAGGUGCAGAAGAAGGACCGGCCAACUACGUGCCAGCCGCCCGCCGUAA
rnacentral:rRNA from 1 species